rnacentral:rRNA from 1 species
AGAGUUUGAUCCUGGCUCAGAUUGAACGCUGGCGGCAUGCCUUACACAUGCAAGUCGAACGGCAGCACGGGGGCAACCCUGGUGGCGAGUGGCGAACGGGUGAGUAAUACAUCGGAACGUGUCCUGUAGUGGGGGAUAGCCCGGCGAAAGCCGGAUUAAUACCGCAUACGAUCUGUGGAUGAAAGCGGGGGAUCUUAGGACCUCGCGCUACAGGAGCGGCCGAUGUCGGAUUAGCUAGUUGGUGGGGUAAAGGCCUACCAAGGCGACGAUCUGUACCUGGUCUGAGAGGACGACCAGCCACACUGGGACUGAGACACGGCCCAGACUCCUACGGGAGGCAGCAGUGGGGAAUUUUGGACAAUGGGCGCAAGCCUGAUCCAGUAAUGCCGCGUGUGUGAAGAAGGCCUUCGGGUUGUAAAGCACUUUUGUCCGGAAAGAAAACCUCUUGGGUUAAUACCUGAGGGGGAUGACGGUACCGGAAGAAUAAGCACCGGCUAACUACGUGCCAGCAGCCGCGGUAAUACGUAGGGUGCGAGCGUUAAUCGGAAUUACUGGGCGUAAAGCGUGCGCAGGCGGUUCGCUAAGACAGAUGUGAAAGCCCCGGGCUCAACCUGGGAACUGCAUUUGUGACUGGCGGGCUAGAGUAUGGCAGAGGGGGGUAGAAUUCCGCGUGUAGCAGUGAAAUGCGUAGAGAUGUGGAGGAAUACCGAUGGCGAAGGCAGCCCCCUGGGCCAAUACUGACGCUCAUGCACGAAAGCGUGGGGAGCAAACAGGAUUAGAUACCCUGGUAGUCCACGCCCUAAACGAUGUCAACUAGUUGUCGGGGCUUCAUUGACUUGGUAACGUAGCUAACGCGUGAAGUUGACCGCCUGGGGAGUACGGCCGCAAGGUUAAAACUCAAAGGAAUUGACGGGGACCCGCACAAGCGGUGGAUGAUGUGGAUUAAUUCGAUGCAACGCGAAAAACCUUACCUACCCUUGACAUGUAUGGAAUCCUGCUGAGAGGUGGGAGUGCCCGAAAGGGAGCCAUAACACAGGUGCUGCAUGGCUGUCGUCAGCUCGUGUCGUGAGAUGUUGGGUUAAGUCCCGCAACGAGCGCAACCCUUGUCCCUAGUUGCUACGCAAGAGCACUCUAGGGAGACUGCCGGUGACAAACCGGAGGAAGGUGGGGAUGACGUCAAGUCCUCAUGGCCCUUAUGGGUAGGGCUUCACACGUCAUACAAUGGUCGGUACAGAGGGUCGCCAACCCGCGAGGGGGAGCCAAUCCCAGAAAACCGAUCGUAGUCCGGAUCGCACUCUGCAACUCGAGUGCGUGAAGUCGGAAUCGCUAGUAAUCGCGGAUCAGCAUGUCGCGGUGAAUACGUUCCCGGGUCUUGUACACACCGCCCGUCACACCAUGGGAGUGGGUUUUACCAGAAGUGGCUAGUCUAACCGCAAGGAGGACGGUCACCACGGCAGGGCUCAUGACUGGGGUGAAGUCGUAACAAGGUAACCA